CAACCUCAACUCAUAUGGGACUACCCCCUGAAUUUAAGCAUAUUAAUUAGGGGAGGAAAAGAAACUAACAAGGAUUUUCUUAGUAGCGGCGAGCGAAAAGAAAUCAGUUCAGCACUAAGUCACUUUGUCUAUAUGGCAAAUGUGAGAUGCAGUGUAUGGAGCGUCAAUAUUCUAGUAUGAGAAAUUAACGAUUUAAGUCCUUCUUAAAUGAGGCCAUUUACCCAUAGAGGGUGCCAGGCCCGUAUAACGUUAAUGAUUACUAGAUGAUGUUUCCAAAGAGUCGUGUUGCUUGAUAGUGCAGCACUAAGUGGGUGGUAAACUCCAUCUAAAACUAAAUAUAACCAUGAGACCGAUAGUAAACAAGUACCGUGAGGGAAAGUUGAAAAGAACUCUGAAUAGAGAGUUAAAUAGUACGUGAAACUGCUUAGAGGUUAAGCCCGAUGAACCUGAAUAUCCGUUAUGGAAAAUUCAUCAUUAAAGUUAUAAUAUUUAAACAAUAUUAUACAAAUAAUGUGCAUUUUUUCCAUAUAAGGACAUUGUAAUCU
rnacentral:ncRNA from 1 species